UUUGAUGAAGUUUUCGUAUGGAUUUAAACAGCUUAGUGGCGGACGGGUGAGUAACGCGUGGGUAACCUGCCUCACACUGGGGGAUAACAGUUAGAAAUAGCUGCUAAUACCGCAUAAGCGCACGGGAUCGCAUGGUCCUGUGUGAAAAACUCCGGUGGUAUAAGAUGGACCCGCGUUGGAUUAGCUAGUUGGCAGGGCAACGGCCCACCAAAGCGACGAUCAGUAGCCGGCCUGAGAGGGUGAACGGCCACAUUGGGACUGAGACACGGCCCAAACUCC
rnacentral:rRNA from 1 species